GCAGCUCAAAUGCUCCAUGAGCAGGAGGAAGCUGUGGGAUGAUGGGCAGGGUCCCCACAAAGCCUGGAGCCUCGUCAGCAUCGGAAACCACAGGAAACCAGGAUUGGCUGCCCCUACCUGCCCCGCUGGAGCACGCACUGUCUGCUGGCCUCCCACAUGGGGUAGCCAAGGUUCUGGAGUGCUGAGGACCUGGGCAGGAUUGAGCUGGGAAGACAAGAGCCAGAAUGGAUGGGCUAUUGGGAUAUGGGCCUUGGAAUUAGGAAGACACUCCCACUGUUCUGCCCAUAUUCCUGGCCAUACCCAGCUGGCCCUUGCUGUGUCCCCAAGGCCUGAGUGUGCUCAGCUCUGGCUCUGCCGCGAUUUGUGCCUGCAUCUGGUGUCCGAUCCUCCAGGCCUCCAGGGGGGCUGGUUCCACCUCCUGGUGCAGAAAUACAAAAAGUCAUGUAAGUUCCAGUUCUGUAGGAGACACAAGAUGCCAGCAUCUGCUCAGGCCAACCAUGUUCUCUGCCUACAGAGGAAGCUGCUGAGUGGCUGUUGCCUGUCUGGGAAGGGUCAUCACAUCGCUGUCCCCUCCCCAGACAUCUCUCACAAGGGGUUGCGCACUAAAAGAGCCCAACCUUCAGAUCCGAAGGCAUUGGAAGUUCUCCCCAGACCCAGCUCACAAAGGCAUGAAGGGCCUGAGUUCUCCUUUGAUUUGCUGCCUGAGGCACGGACUAUUCAAGUGACCAUUCCUCCAGGACCUGAGGUCAGCGUGCGUCUUUGUCACCAGUGGGUACUAGAAUGUGAGGAGCUGAGCAGUCCCUUCGACACGCAGAAAAUUGUGUCUGGAGGCCACACUGUAGACCUGCCUUAUGAAUUCUUUCUGCCCUGUCUGUGCAUAGAGGUAUCCUACCUGCAAGAGGACACCGUGAGGCGCAAAAAAUGUCCCUUCCAGAACUGGCCUGAAGCCUAUGGCUCAGACUUCUGGAAGUCAGUGCACUUUACCGACUACAGCCAGCACAGUCAGAUGAUCAUGGCCCUGACCCUCCGCUGCCCACUGAAGCUGGAGGCCUCCCUCUGCCAGAAGUGGGGCUGGAAUACCCUCUGUGAAGACCUCCCCAAUGCCACGGCUCGAGAGUCAGAGGGGUGGUAUGUCUUGGAGGGAAUAGACCUGCAUCCCCAGCUUUGCUUCAAGUUCUCAUUUGGAAAUAGCAGCCAUGUUGAAUGCCCCCACCAGACGGGUGAGCUGAUAAGUGACCCUGGCUGGGACGCCCUUCCACCACUGAACCCUUACCCAACUGGGACCAAACCAGGCUCAAGCCCUGUUCUGACUUCUCUGACAACCACAACCCAAAUCCUAUCGCCUCCUGCAAACAGAAUGUCUCCCAUGAUACCCUUUCCCACCCUGGUAGCCCCAUCCUGGAAUGUGAGCAUGGAUACCCAGGGCCAGCAGCUGGUCCUUCACAUCUCCUCCAGGAUACACGCCACCUUCAGUGCUGCCUGGAGCCACCCAAGCUUGGGGCAGGACAGCUUGGUGCCCCCUGUGUACAGCAUCAGCCAGAUUCAGGGCUCAAACCCAGUGACACUAGAGCUCAUCAUUCCCUUCCUGAAGCCAGGGAGCUGUGUCCUGGUGUGGAGGUCAGAUGUUCAGUUUUCCUGGAAGCACCUCUUGUGUCCAGAUGUCUCUCAUAGACACCUGGGGCUCUUGAUACUGGCACUGCUGGCGCUCACCACCCUAUUGGGCAUUGUUCUGGUCUUCAUCCGCCGCCGGCGUCCACUGUCAGGCUCCCUUCCAGAAGAGCCAUGGCCCUCUUGGUGCGCGGAGUUCUCUGCUACCCAAAGUGGCCCUGGCCGAGCGCGGCCGGUGUUGCUCCUGCACGUGGCCGACUCGGAGGCGCAGCGGCGCCUGGUGGGAGCGCUGGCUGAACUGCUGCGUGCAUCGCUGGGCGGCGGGCGCGACGUGAUCGUGGACCUGUGGGAGGGGACGCGCGUGGCGCGCGUGGGCCCGCUGCCGUGGCUGUGGGCUGCACGGGCGCGCGUCGCGCAGGAGCGGGGCACCGUGCUGCUUCUGUGGAGCAGUGCCGGCCCCAGUCCAGCCCAAGGCCGGGAUCCCCACUCCGCACCCCUGCGCGCCCUGCUCCGCGCCGCCCCGCGCCCGCUGCUGCUGCUUGCUUACUUCAGUCGCCUCUGUGCCAAGGGUGACAUUCCCCCACCCCUGCGCGACCUGCCACGCUACCGCCUCCUGCGCGACCUGCCACGCCUACUGCGGGCUCUAGACGCGCAGACUUCCACCGAAGCCGCCAGCGGAGGCCUCCUCGGGAAUCGGCGGUGCCUGCGGGGUCGCCUGGAGCUGUGCCACCGGCUGGAACUCGAGGCCGCCAAAUUUUGCCCACCGAGGCUGAGCAGAGACAGGCAUAGGGGUACUGGCUGGAACCCCUGAAUGAGCCUUCAACCCUAGAACCCUUGGGGUGCUUCCUCAGGACUACUGGCCAAAAAUUCUUACUGCUUUGUUUGCUGGCCUGGGAGUAGGACACCUCCCUCUCUGUCCCAGCCCCUUCCUUAAGCGUCUGGCUUCUUCCUCGUGUUUACCCUUUAGGAACCAGCAGGGAGAGUCGCUGUUUAAUGAGGGCUCCAGUACCCCAGUUCUGUUGGGGGUGGGGAACUCCUCACACUUCUUUUCUUCAAAAUUGCAGAAAGAGCAGUCUGCACAUGCUCCAGUCCAGGCUGGAGAGGUGUGGGACAGAGGUAGAGGAGGCAGGAGCCAUGCCAAUUCUGAGCAAGGGGACCCUGGAUCACGACCUGAGCUGAAGCCAGAUGCUUAAUGACUGAGCCACCCAAGUGCCCCAGGACCUGGAAAUCUUAAUCCUUACUGUGAACAGGUUCAGAAAGCUCCAUCUAUCAUGCAACAUGGCAACAGCACAAAUGGGGCCCCUGUCUUCCUGCCUCUGAGUCCUGAGUUCCUUCCCACCCUUGAGCAGAGGCCAGGAAGGGGUGAAAAGCCCACUUUCUGAUGCCCUUUGUCCCUCCCUUUAGAGCUCCUGCCCCACAAAGGGUCACUGAGUCUCAAGGCAGAUGUGUGAAGGGACAAGGGGUGCCCUGUAUGAGGGGACGUAAGGGGCAGCAAAAUCCCAGAUUCACAUGGGAAGUGGAGAUGCCCGUGUAUUGCCCAGGCCCUCUUUCUUAGGGACUCCCAGGGUGAGUAACGCUCCCUUACUCAGCGGUGAUGC